rnacentral:rRNA from 1 species
AGUGAACGCUGGCGGUAGGCCUAACACAUGCAAGUCGAACGGCAGCACAGUAAGAGCUUGCUCUUACGGGUGGCGAGUGGCGGACGGGUGAGGAAUACAUCGGAAUCUACUUUUUCGUGGGGGAUAACGUAGGGAAACUUACGCUAAUACCGCAUACGACCUACGGGUGAAAGCAGGGGAUCUUCGGACCUUGCGCGAUUGAAUGAGCCGAUGUCGGAUUAGCUAGUUGGCGGGGUAAAGGCCCACCAAGGCGACGAUCCGUAGCUGGUCUGAGAGGAUGAUCAGCCACACUGGAACUGAGACACGGUCCAGACUCCUACGGGAGGCAGCAGUGGGGAAUAUUGGACAAUGGGCGAAAGCCUGAUCCAGCCAUACCGCGUGGGUGAAGAAGGCCUUCGGGUUGUAAAGCCCUUUUGUUGGGAAAGAAAAGCAGCAGGUUAAUACCCCGACGUUCUGACGGUACCCAAAGAAUAAGCACCGGCUAACUUCGUG